CAGUCGCCACGGGAAUACGGAGGGUGCAAGCGUUAAUCGGAAUUACUGGGCGUAAAGCGCACGCAGGCGGUCUGUCAAGUCAGAUGUGAAAUCCCCGGGCUUAACCUGGGAACUGCAUUUGAAACUGGCAGGCUAGAGUCUUGUAGAGGGGGGUAGAAUUCCAGGUGUAGCGGUGAAAUGCGUAGAGAUCUGGAGGAAUACCGGUGGCGAAGGCGGCCCCCUGGACAAAGACUGACGCUCAGGUGCGAAAGCGUGGGGAGCAAACAGGAUUAGAUACCCCCUAGUCCCUGUCUCUUAUACC
rnacentral:rRNA from 1 species